rnacentral:rRNA from 1 species
GGUUCAUUCAAAUUUCUGCCCUAUCAACUUUCGAUGGUAGGAUAGUGGCCUACCAUGGUAUCAACGGGUAACGGGGAAUUAGGGUUCGAUUCCGGAGAGGGAGCCUGAGAAACGGCUACCACAUCCAAGGAAGGCAGCAGGCGCGCAAAUUACCCAAUCCCGACCGGGGAGGUAGUGACAAUAAAUACUGAUACAGGGCUCUUUUGGGUCUUGUAAUUGGAAUGAGUACAAUUUAAAUCCCUUAACGAGGAACAAUUGGAGGGCAAGUCUGGUGCCAGCAGCCGCGGUAAUUCCAGCUCCAAUAGCGUAUAUUAAAGUUGUUGCAGUUAAAAAGCUCGUAGUUG